AAAUGAUACUAUCAAAUCAGGAUUUUAGUAAAAUUAUGAUUUUGCCCUUGAAGAGCAUAAGGACUUUUUCAUUUUAAAAUUAUUUGUAUCCCUUCAAUCUGCUUUGUAAUCAUCAAAAUCAAUCUAGGAGAAACAUCCGCUAUAUUAUUUUUGGAGUCAACUCAUUCUAUGAUUACAUUACAAACAUGGUGGAAGCAUCUUAAGAUAUGCUUAGAUUUUUUGGUGAGACCUUGAUUCC
rnacentral:lncRNA from 1 species